AGCUCCAAUAGCGUAUAUUAAAGUUGUUGCAGUUAAAAAGCUCGUAGUUGGAUUUCUGGUGAGAUAUCUUUAGCCUGACCGAGAGGUCUUGUUUGAUGAUUAUUUCGCCUUCUUGUCAAGAACCUUUUGAUCUUCAUUGGUCGAAAGUGGACUGGCAUCUUUUACUGUGAAAAAAUUAGAGUGUUCAAGCAGGCAUCGCC
rnacentral:rRNA from 1 species